rnacentral:rRNA from 1 species
AACGAACGCUGGCGGCAUGCCUAACACAUGCAAGUCGAACGAGGCCUUCGGGUCUAGUGGCGCACGGGUGCGUAACGCGUGGGAAUCUGCCCUUCGGUUGGGAAUAACUGAGAGAAAUUUCAGCUAAUACCUUAUAAUGUCUUCGGACCAAAGAUUUAUCGCCGAGGGAUGAGCCCGCGUAGGAUUAGGUAGUUGGUGGGGUAAUGGCCUACCAAGCCGACGAUCCUUAGCUGGUCUGAGAGGAUGAUCAGCCACACUGGGACUGAGACACGGCCCAGACUCCUACGGGAGGCAGCAGUGGGGAAUAUUGGACAAUGGGCGAAAGCCUGAUCCAGCAAUGCCGCGUGAGUGAUGAAGGCCUUAGGGUUGUAAAGCUCUUUUACCCGGGAUGAUAAUGACAGUACCGGGAGAAUAAGCUCCGGCUAACUCCGUG